GACGAACGCUGGCGGCGCGCCUAACACAUGCAAGUCGAACGAGCGAGAGGAGGUUUCCUUUCUCAAGCGAGUGGCGAACGGGUGAGUAACGCGUGAGGAACCUGCCUCAAAGAGGGGGACAACAGUUGGAAACGACUGCUAAUACCGCAUAAGCCCACGACCCGGCAUCGGGUAGAGGGAAAAGGAGCAAUCCGCUUUGAGAUGGCCUCGCGUCCGAUUAGCUAGUUGGUGAGGUAAUGGCCCACCAAGGCGACGAUCGGUAGCCGGACUGAGAGGUUGAACGGCCACAUUGGGACUGAGACACGGCCCAGACUCCUACGGGAGGCAGCAGUGGGGAAUAUUGCACAAUGGGGGAAACCCUGAUGCAGCGACGCCGCGUGGAGGAAGAAGGUCUUCGGAUUGUAAACUCCUGUUGUUGAGGAAGAUAAUGACGGUACUCAACAAGGAAGUGACGGCUAACUACGUG
rnacentral:rRNA from 1 species